UGCAGAAUAGAGCGCCAGCCUUCCCCUCCUCAAGAACCACUUCAGGAUGGUAGAUACGUUGAACCAGACGAAAACAGGCAGCGCUCUCAACGCAGAAAAAGCACCGACAAAGGGAGUCC
rnacentral:lncRNA from 1 species